GGCUCGUUGGUCUAGGGGUAUGGUUCUCACGUAGGGUGCGAGAGGUCCUGGGUUCAAAUCGUGGACGAGCCC